ensembl:lncRNA
UGUGCCUGCGUACACAGAUGUAGGUGUCCUGUCUGUGUGUGUGUGUGUCUUGUCUGUGUGUGUGUGUGUGUGUGUGUGUGUGUGUGUGUGUGUGUGAAUGUCUGUGUGUGUGUGUGUGUCUGUGUGUGUGUGUGUGUGUGUGCGUGUGCGUGUGCGUGUGCGUGUGCGUGUGUCUGUGUGUGUGUGUGUGUGUGUCUGUGUGUAUGUGUGUGUGUGUGUGUGUGUGUGCGUGUGUGUGUGUGUGUGUGUGUGUGUCUGUGUGUGUGUGUGUGUGUGUGUGUGUGUGUGUGAAUGUCUGUGUGUGUGUGUGUGUGUGUGUGUGUGUGUGUCUGUGUCUGUCUGUGUGUGUGUGUGUGUGUGUCUGUGUGUGUGUGUGUGUGUGUGUGUGUGUGUGCGUGUGUCCGUGUCCGUGUGUGUGUGUGUGUGUGUAGCUCAUUCUGGUUCUUGGUGCAGGUGUGUGAGGAUGGCGAGGGCGUCAGCAGGGAUGAAGGAGUGGGAGGCAGAGAGUGGGAGGACCAGCGUAACCCACGGCAACCCAGAGAGCGGCGACAGGAAGCUGGGACUGCUGGGGUCGCUGCGGGCGAGCCUGCGCAGGAAGGGCCAUCUGACCUCACUCAGUCACAGGUCGAAGGUCAAAUCUGCUUCUGACCUGGCCAACGCUAGCAACAGCCCCAGCAACAGCACACACACACACACACCUCUACCUUCACCAAGUUUGAGUUUGGGCUCCCCCCUCCGUGGCCUUAGUGGUUUCUUCCAGAAGAAAGAUGGAGAUUCAGGGGGAAGCCCUCUUAAAACACCCCAGUCCCACUCCAGAAAACACUCAGACACCUCCGUUGCCCUGGGCGACCGGCUCCUGAAGAAGGGAGCAUCUCUCCGCCGCAGUCUGGUCCUGGGGAGCAGACGACACGCCCCCGACAGCACAGCCAAUCAGGAGCCGCUGCCAUGUGCCACGGAGGCUGUCCAAUCAGAGCAGAGCACGGGCAGGUCAGAGGUCACCAAGAGAUCAGAGGUCAGGGAGUCGUACGUUCGCCCUGAGAUCCCACACCUGCCCCUCUCAGUGAUGCAGAUCAAUAUGCUGAUUGAGCUGGAGGUGUUUGAAGAGGCGCACGUCAACAUGCUGUCCCUGCGUCAGGAGUUCCAUCACCAGCAGGAGGCUCUGGGCCCGCAGGCCUCACCUGUGGAGCUGGCUCACCUGGAGAAAGACCUGCACCUGCUCUACAGGGCGCUGCGGGAAAAGAUGGCUGACAUCGUGCGCCAGUCCAGCGCCCUGCCUGCCCGCAACAAGGAGCUGCUGGUCCACGUGGCUCGCAUCGUCCAGGAGGAGGAGAGGAGGGAGGCGGAGGGGGAGGCGGGGGGGCUGGGGGGGUGGAGGGAGGCCUGGAGGGAGGCCGUGAGGGACGGCGUGAGGGACGUGCUGGAGGGGGUCCACCUGGACACACCUGAGCACAACACUUCCUGGUUGGCCGUGCACCUGGGGCUUCUGGGAAAAGCCAUCGUGGAGAACCUGGAGAGGGUGAAGGCGGAGCUCCAGGGCUCGUACCCGCCCAGUUUCUGCGUGUUUCACGCGUACGUCACGAGCUGUCACGAGGUCACUGAGCAACACCUGCAAAGGGUUAUGGGUAAAGUGA